CAUGCAGUCGAGCGGUAAGGCCUUUCGGGGUACACGAGCGGCGAACGGGUGAGUAACACGUGGGUGAUCUGCCCUGCACUUCGGGAUAAGCCUGGGAAACUGGGUCUAAUACCGGAUAUGACCUCCUAUCGCAUGGUGGGUGGUGGAAAGAUUUAUCGGUGCAGGAUGGGCCCGCGGCCUAUCAGCUUGUUGGUGGGGUAAUGGCCUACCAAGGCGACGACGGGUAGCCGACCUGAGAGGGUGACCGGCCACACUGGGACUGAGACACGGCCCAGACUCCUACGGGAGGCAGCAGUGGGGAAUAUUGCACAAUGGGCGAAAGCCUGAUGCAGCGACGCCGCGUGAGGGAUGACGGCCUUCGGGUUGUAAACCUCUUUCAGCAGGGACGAAGCGCAAGUGACGGUACCUGCAGAAGAAGCACCGGCUAACUACGUGCCAGCAGCCGCGGUAAUACGUAGGGUGCAAGCGUUGUCCGGAAUUACUGGGCGUAAAGAGUUCGUAGGCGGUUUGUCGCGUCGUUUGUGAAAACCAGCAGCUCAACUGCUGGCUUGCAGGCGAUACGGGCAGACUUGAGUACUGCAGGGGAGACUGGAAUUCCUGGUGUAGCGGUGAAAUGCGCAGAUAUCAGGAGGAACACCGGUGGCGAAGGCGGGUCUCUGGGCAGUAACUGACGCUGAGGAACGAAAGCGUGGGUAGCGAACAGGAUUAGAUACCCUGGUAGUCCACGCCGUAAACGGUGGGCGCUAGGUGUGGGUUCCUUCCACGGAAUCCGUGCCGUAGCUAACGCAUUAAGCGCCCCGCCUGGG
rnacentral:rRNA from 1 species